CUUAUCUCCACAUAAGGAUGGGAGAUAAGUGGUAACUUCAAUUAUGUGCUAUUUUCAAUGACAUCACAGUUUUAGGCUAAGGUUCCAAAGAUCCCAAGUGUCAGGUGACUGAAAACCUAUGGACUUGGAAAGAAAUGACCUUCCCGGAAGUGAAACAAAUCAGGAAAAAGAACUCCCUAUCAGAAUGUCCUUUUGGGCACGGAAGAACAGACUGUAGCUUGCCCUCUGCCGUCCGGAACACUGCCUUCCUAUCGAGGCAGUGUGGAAAUUCACUGGCCAGGCGAAAGAACCCAGCAGAUGUAAAGUCCAGGAGUGGUAUCCCAGUUUCCCACAAGAGAACGGAUUUUCCGACCGCAGGGCUGAGAAGCCAGCCACAAAGCAGCUUGCUGAAACCCGACAUAAAACAAAAUUUGACUGAAAAAAAUGUACAAAAAAAUGAAAAAAAAGAGCGAUGGAUUUUCUAAUCCGGCCUUUAUUGAGGUUCCUGGUUUCAGCAGCGCAACCUUUUUUAUGUGCGAGAAGCGCUCUCUGUAAUUACCUCGCCACCACCACCGGACCGGCUUGUAAUAAAAGAGCUCUAUU